rnacentral:rRNA from 1 species
UACGUAGGCAGCGAGCGUUGUUCGGAAUUACUGGGCGUAAAGGGCUCGUAGGUGGCCAACUAAGUCAGACGUGAAAUCCCUCGGCUUAACCGGGGAACUGCGUCUGAUACUGGAUGGCUUGAGUUCGGGAGAGGGAUGCGGAAUUCCAGGUGUAGCGGUGAAAUGCGUAGAUAUCUGGAGGAACACCGGUGGCGAAGGCGGCAUCCUGGACCGACACUGACACUGAGGAGCGAAAGCCAGGGGAGCAAACGGG